rnacentral:rRNA from 1 species
CAAACUGAAGAUGGCGACCGGCGCACGGGUGAGUAACACGUAUCCAACCUGCCGAUGACUCGGGGAUAGCCUUUCGAAAGAAAGAUUAAUACCCGAUGGCAUAAUAGAACCGCAUGGUUUGAUUAUUAAAGAAUUUCGGUUAUCGAUGGGGAUGCGUUCCAUUAGGCAGUUGGUGGGGUAACGGCCCACCAAACCUUCGAUGGAUAGGGGUUCUGAGAGGAAGGUCCCCCACAUUGGAACUGAGACACGGUCCAAACUCCUACGGGAGGAGCAUG